rnacentral:rRNA from 1 species
CUACGGGGGGCAGCAGUUAGGAAUAUUCUGCAAUGCGCGCAAGCGUGACAGAUUGAGCCAGAGUGCGUUUCAAUUGAAACGCUUUUGUGAAAUGUAAAAAGUUUCACGAAUAAGGACUGGGUAAGACUAGUGCCAGCCGCCGCGGUAAUACUAGCGGUCCAAGUCGCAGCCAUUUUUAUUGGGUCUAAAACAUCCGUAGGUUGCUUGAUAAGUUUCUUGUGAAAUUUUAUGUCUUAAAUAUAAAGCGCGCAUGAAGUACUGUUGAGCUAGAGACUGGAAGACGUGAGAAGUAUGGCAAAAGUAACGGUAAAAUGUGUUGAUAUUUGUCAGAAUAACAAUAGCGAAGGCAUCUCACGAGGACAGUUCUGACAGUAAGGGAUGAAGGCUAGGGGCGCAAAACGGAUUAGAUACCCUCGUAGUC